AUGUGGCCAAGGGCAGCUGAAAAAUGGAACAAACAUGUGCUGAGAGGAAUGACCAAGCACCUCUGCACUUCAGCUCUUCUGGGACAUGCAAAUCUGCUACAAAACAGUAUAGCCAUUCAGAUCCAUACAAAGAACUUUAUCCAGGAAAUAAGGAUUCUGGCUAUCACUCGCUGCAGAAAAAACUCAAGCUACUAUGUGCCAUGGCCACACUAGGGUGACUGCAUGGAAGCCAACUUAGCUGAAGCUGAGGAUGAACUAUUCUGCUUGUCCAGAUUCAGACUGACUCCUGUGGUACUGUUGAAGCAAUCUAGACAUACAUCUCCUUGUGCCAUCCAUGAGAAGACAUUUUGGUGGGCAUGAUGUUUGCACUGGGAACCCUGCUAGGGCAUACACAGCUCUGCUGGUCUUAGUCUCUACAGACACAGUUCUUCAUUCAUCAUGAGCCUGUCUACUUAUUCCCUUUUGUACAUGAUUUUGGACUGUCACACGUGUGUGUGUUGCUCUCACUCAGACAGCAAACAGACCAAGCUCUACAUGAGUGAUUUAAAAAACAGGCUUCAAACUUGUGAUAUCAUUAGAAAUGCAGAUGAUGUGCUUAUAAAACAGUUAUUAAUUCUUUGAUGAUGCAGAUACUUCAGUCAGUUAUAAAAACGUGAUAGAAUUAUCAAAUUAUACUUGUGUUAUUUAUUGCUAACUUUUUAGCUGUGGCACCACCUUGUGGACAUUACUACAGGGAUGAAAAGCUGACUAGUGCCAACAAAAGCAUCUAAACCAGAGCAGGCAUUUUGGAAAAACAACAACUGUAUUCAGACAAGUACUGCUAAAGCAGAGUAAAAUAACUCAAUUAAAAAAGAAAUCCUAAAAAUCCACUUAUGAAAUAAAAUGUAUAACAAAUACUGCCA
rnacentral:lncRNA from 14 species